UGUUGAUUGACGGGUGGUUGGUUGUAAGAUAUUAUAGUAUAUAUUAUUUAUUGAGGGACAGUAACAUAAGAUUAGCGGCAUGGAGGUGAAAGGACUGAUUUUGAAAUGCCUACCUCUCUUGUUUUUAAUCCUGUGUCUAUAUACAGACAAAGCUCGAAGUGGUUGGUGUUACUAUAGAGAGGCGUACGAUGAAAGAUAUUGUACUUGUACACAAUACCUCUGUGAUCAGGGGUUGAACAGUUGUUUUAAUCACAGAACUAAGCACAGAACAGUACGUCGUUGUUGUUCUGGUUACACUGGUGGUGAAUGUCAACGUAAGUAGAAGUUUUAAGGCAAUGUGAAGUUGGCAAUUCUGGAUUCACGAAUAACGAAUAACGAGCAAGCACGUUAUUCGGAAUUUAGUAGUUAACUGCCGAAUCUCGAAUAACGUGCUGGCUCGUUAUUCGGGAUUCGCGAAUAACGAAUAACGAACCAGCAUAUUAUUCGGGAUCCGACCAUUUCCUCGUUAACCCCGACCGCAGGUGUAAGUCACUCCUGCUAACUGGACUUGCUGGUCCAUGUGUAUUUGUCUUGUUCAGUAUUAAAUAGUUUCAAGGAUACUGACAACGGCGUUUACGUAUUACUGAAACUGUUCUCAUAUUAUCAGAUUAUCUACAAAGCGGAUUUCGAAUGCGUACAGGGUUAUAAUUUACAAACAGAGGGAGGAUCACUUUAUCAAAGUAACAAAUUGGCUCAAAAAUAAUUGAUUCGAUCAAUCUUAAGAUGCGGCAUUUAAAGUUAACAUUGUACUAGAUUAUAUUAUUAAUGUAUAAUAUAUAUUACUGAGGUAUUUGGUCAAUGUAGUUUUUGUCAAGUGAACCAUUUGGCAGUAGUUAUUUUAAUCGUAUCUGAUGAAUAUAGUUUAUACAUUGUUAAUGUAUAUUAUCUCGUUCAGUAAUGUGUUUUAUACUUCAACACACAAUAUACUUGUAUUGAACACUAGUCGGCAAUUAUAUAAAGUCGCUAAUAUUAUAGUAGACUACACUUAUUACAUGUAACUAUGAACAUGAGUGUGUUUAAUAUGCACAAUGGGUAGACCACGAGUGCAUUGAAAUGUAUUAAAAUGUUCGAAGUCUUUGUUAUUGUAUUGAUACAGUAUUAAAUUACAGUCCAUUAUCCUGUGCCAAAUUCAGCCUUGAUUGAGAAACAAACCGGUAUAAGUCAUGAAAUUCAAAUUGGGCACUAGUAAUAACAAUAUUCCAUAUAGGGACAAAAUAAAUUUAUAAAGCUUUAUUAACACCCAACAUUACCUACACAUAAUUGUCACAGCUCCAAAUAAUAUAGUCCAGGCAAGAUAACAUAAGUGCGGGAAGUUGUUACAAUAGAAAUGCCGACCAUAGUUGUCACAGCUCCAAAUAAUAUAGUCCAGGCAAGAUAACAUAAGUGCGGGCAGCUGUUACAAUAGAAAUGCCGACC